UACGGAGUUACAAAGGACGACAUUAGACGAAUCAUCUGGAAAGAUGAAUCAAAGAAGGUAAUAAUCCUGUAGUCGAAAAUGUUGUCUCUCUUGAGUGGAUCCUGAGUACGACGGAGCACGUGAAAUUCCGUCGGAAUCUGGGAGGACCAUCUCCUAAGGCUAAAUACUCUCUAGUGACCGAUAGUGAACCAGUACCGUGAGGGAAAGGUGAAAAGCACCCCGGAAGGGGAGUGAAAUAGAACCUGAAACCGUGUGCUUACAAGUAGUCAGAGCCCGUUAAUGGGUGAUGGCGUGCCUUUUGUAGAAUGAACCGGCGAGUUACGAUUUGAUGCAAGGUUAAGCAGUAAAUGUGGAGCCGUAGCGAAAGCGAGUCUGAAUAGGGCGUUUAGUAUUUGGUCGUAGACCCGAAACCAGGUGAUCUACCCUUGGUCAGGUUGAAGUUCAGGUAACACUGAAUGGAGGACCGAACCGACUUACGUUGAAAAGUGAGCGGAUGAACUGAGGGUAGCGGAGAAAUUCCAAUCGAACCUGGAGAUAGCUGGUUCUCUCCGAAAUAGCUUUAGGGCUAGCCUCAAGUGAUGAUUAUUGGAGGUAGAGCACUGUUUGGACGAGGGGCCCCUCUCGGGUUACCGAAUUCAGACAAACUCCGAAUGCCAAUUAAUUUAACUUGGGAGUCAGAACAUGGGUGAUAAGGUCCGUGUUCGAAAGGGAAACAGCCCAGACCACCAGCUAAGGUCCCAAAAUAUAUGUUAAGUGGAAAAGGAUGUGGCGUUGCCCAGACAACUAGGAUGUUGGCUUAGAAGCAGCCAUCAUUUAAAGAGUGCGUAAUAGCUCACUAGUCGAGUGACACUGCGCCGAAAAUGUACCGGGGCUAAACAUAUUACCGAAGCUGUGGAUUGUCCUUUGGACAAUGGUAGGAGAGCGUUCUAAGGGCGUUGAAGCAUGAUCGUAAGGACAUGUGGAGCGCUUAGAAGUGAGAAUGCCGGUGUGAGUAGCGAAAGACGGGUGAGAAUCCCGUCCACCGAUUGACUAAGGUUUCCAGAGGAAGGCUCGUCCGCUCUGGGUUAGUCGGGUCCUAAGCUGAGGCCGACAGGCGUAGGCGAUGGAUAACAGGUUGAUAUUCCUGUACCACCUAUAAUCGUUUUAAUCGAUGGGGGGACGCAGUAGGAUAGGCGAAGCGUGCGAUUGGAUUGCACGUCUAAGCAGUAAGGCUGAGUAUUAGGCAAAUCCGGUACUCGUUAAGGCUGAGCUGUGAUGGGGAGAAGACAUUGAGUCUUCGAGUCGUUGAUUUCACACUGCCGAGAAAAGCCUCUAGAUAGAAAAUAGGUGCCCGUACCGCAAACCGACACAGGUAGUCAAGAUGAGAAUUCUAAGGUGAGCGAGCGAACUCUCGUUAAGGAACUCGGCAAAAUGACCCCGUAACUUCGGGAGAAGGGGUGCUCUUUAGGGUUAACGCCCAGAAGAGCCGCAGUGAAUAGGCCCAAGCGACUGUUUAUCAAAAACACAGGUCUCUGCUAAACCGUAAGGUGAUGUAUAGGGGCUGACGCCUGCCCGGUGCUGGAAGGUUAAGAGGAGUGGUUAGCUUCUGCGAAGCUACGAAUCGAAGCCCCAGUAAACGGCGGCCGUAACUAUAACGGUCCUAAGGUAGCGAAAUUCCUUGUCGGGUAAGUUCCGACCCGCACGAAAGGCGUAACGAUUUGGGCACUGUCUCAACGAGAGACUCGGUGAAAUCAUAGUACCUGUGAAGAUGCAGGUUACCCGCGACAGGACGGAAAGACCCCGUGGAGCUUUACUGUAGCCUGAUAUUGAAAUUCGGCACAGCUUGUACAGGAUAGGUAGGAGCCUUUGAAACGUGAGCGCUAGCUUACGUGGAGGCGCUGGUGGGAUACUACCCUAGCUGUGUUGGCUUUCUAACCCGCACCACUUAUCGUGGUGGGAGACAGUGUCAGGCGGGCAGUUUGACUGGGGCGGUCGCCUCCUAAAAGGUAACGGAGGCGCUCAAAGGUUCCCUCAGAAUGGUUGGAAAUCAUUCAUAGAGUGUAAAGGCAUAAGGGAGCUUGACUGCGAGACCUACAAGUCGAGCAGGGUCGAAAGACGGACUUAGUGAUCCGGUGGUUCCGCAUGGAAGGGCCAUCGCUCAACGGAUAAAAGCU
rnacentral:rRNA from 1 species